UCCAACAAUCCCUUACUUGGAUACCGAAUUCAAGACUAACCAGCCUUGUCCUAACUACUUGUCAUGGCUUGAUGAUCAACCUAAGGACUCUGUUCUAUACAUAUCCCAAGGAAGUUUCUUGUCAGUAUCAAAUACACAGUUAGAUGAAAUUAUAGCGGGUGCGCACAGCAGUGGUGUCCGUACAUUUUGGGUGGCACGUGAAACUUCUUCCUUACUUAUAACAGAUGGAAUUGGGAAGAGGGGAAUCGUGGUGCCUUGGUGUGACCAAUUGAGAGUUUUGUGCCAUCCUAGUGUAGGUGGAUUUUGGUCGCAUUGUGGAUGGAAUUCAACCAAGGAAGGUGUGUUUGCUGGCGUUCCGUUUCUUACAUUCCCCAUUGUGGCUGAUCAAUUUACCAACAGUAAACAAAUAGUGGAGGACUGGAAGAUUGGGUGGAGAGUCAAUAAGGAAAGUGAGAACCUGGUUAAGAGAGAUAAAAUUGCUCUACUCGUGCAGAGUUUUAUGGACCUUGACAGCUAUCACGGAAGAGAAAUGAGGAAAAGAGCAAUGGGAAUACGAAAUAUCUUUCAAGAGGCAAUUGAAGGUGGAGCCAUUCAAGCAAAUAUUUACAAGUUCAUUCAGGAUAUUUCUCAAGGCCCAAGGCAAUAAUGUUUGGUAUGUGAAGAAGUCAUGCAGAAAUUAUGUAUGAACUUAAUAAUAUAAAAACUAUUUUUGUAAUAUGUUUCACCUGAGAAGAGUAUCAAACAUUUUCUUCGCUCUAAACUGCUGAGCAUGUAUAUGGCCCAAACUUUCGCAGUACUACUCUUUGUUGAAUAAAUGAAGUGGAAAGAGAACACAAACAGGAUGCACUUGGUGAGAGCAAGAAUUUUCUGCCUGCUGUUAUUCACAGGCAUCCUGUCAAUGUUUCAACAUGCUGCUUUAGUGGAGAAAGAAAUUAGUACCAACUACUUGAGUUCAGGAACCAGGUUCCUUACUCUUAACUGAAAGCAGUAACAAAAAUAUCUCGAGUUUCAUGUAGAAACCUCCUUACUCAAGAGAGUAAAAACCACAGCCUCCAAUGUGCAGGAUUUCAGCAACCAAUAUUGUAGACUCUAUCCUCUUUUACCUUGUAGAUCUCAUUAUUGAUGGACAUGUAAUGUGCUUGCACCUGAUAUAUAUACAAACAAUAGUAUAUUCAGCAUUUAAAUUAAUGGUUUCUAUUUUUCAAAUGCAAGUGCUAAUUUUUUUUUACUUGUUUUCACACACAUACAUUAUAUAUAUUUAUUCAGUUGUGGGUUCAACGAAACUAUAUCAUACUUUAAAUCCGCCGCCAUAUAAAAAAUACAUACAUAUAUAUUUCUUCCCAUCCUGAUAUUUUGGGAGGGCAUUUAGCGUCAAGCCUCUGUAUAUACGUAGGAAAACAAAUUUCUCGAGCUUUAGGGGUCGUUUGGUGUGAAGAAUUACACAAAAUAGUUAUGGGAUUAAAUUGUAGUGCCACUUAAUUUGUUGUUUGGUUGGCAUGUUCGGGAUAACUUAUCUCGGGAUUAAUAAUUAGUGCUGGGAUAAGUUAUCCCUCCUUUUGAGUGGUAUAGUAAUUCCGGGAUAAAAUAAGUAAAUGAGAAAAAUAUCCUUCAAAACUUUUUCUAUACAUCACUUUUCACAUUCAUUAAGGGUACUUUUGUAAACAAAUAAAUUAUUCUUAAAAUUAAUUUAUGCAAAGCCUAUUAUUUUGAAUACAACAUAACUUAUUCCAUCAUAAUUUAUUCCAUCAUAAAUUGAAUUCAAACCAAACGACAAUAAGUCCUGAAUUGCAGUGGUAGCAAGUGGUUAUUAUUUGUCAAUGUACGUAGGAUGUCAGCAUUGAAGCACAACAAUGCUUGUAGAGUUGUAAUACGUACCAACUGCGCAUUAAGCUAGCUCUUGCAAUGUGCAUAAGUAAAAGCGAACAGAACAGUAAUUCUUUCACAUGAUCGAUAGUUCUAAACAUUAAAAAAAAUUGUGCCACUUAUUGUUAGAAAGUUUAGGAUAGUACAGAUUCAGUGGCGAAUUUAUGUGUAAAAAUUGGGUCACCCAAACCCAUGGUCCUCCGACUAAACUCGAUAUAUUACUUGUAUAAUUAUUAAAGAACAUAUUAAAUAAACACUUGUUGAACUUGUUCUUAAAGUUGCUGGAUGGUUCACUGGUUUGACAGUCAAAUUUUAACACCAAGGUCCUGAAUUCAAUCCCCGACAACCACAAUUCACUUCAAUUUUUUUUAGUAACUAAUAACACUUGUUUUUUCAAAAAAAAAAAAUGAAAUUCUAAAGCAAUGGUACACCCGUUUUCUUGAAAUCCUGGAUUCGCCUCUGUACAGAUUAAACAUCUGUGGCCAUAUUUAAGGCCACAUAUAAUUGUUGUCAUUUAGCAUCUCAACGUUAUCAGUCCUAAAACCCUAGCGGAAAUUAACUCAACCCAAAUAUAUGUGUAAAUGGAAACUGCCGACGUUGAUCAACCCCUAUUUAGUUGCCACAUAUUGGCAAUUCCGUAUCCAGGUAGAGGCCACAUCAAUCCAUUGAUGAAUCUGUGCAAGCUCAUAGCUGCAACGUCCACACCAAAUCAUCUGCUACAACUCUCUGUUAUUGUAACUGAAGAAUGGUUCAGCUUUUUGAAAUCAGAGGCAAAACCAGAUAAUAUCCAAUUUCGAACAAUCCCAAAUGUAAUUCCAUCAGAAAAGGACAAGGCCAAAGAUUUGUUAGGUUUCAUGAAAACUGUGUUUACUAAAAUGGAAGCUCCGGUUGAUAGUAUACUUGACGGAGUUCCAAAGCCCAAUGUGAUUUUAGCUGAUUCGUUCUUGCCGUGGGCCGUCAGUAUUGGGGAACGGAGGAAUAUUCCGGUGGCUUCAUUUUGGCCCAUGUCUGCAACGAUUUUCUCCCUCUUUUAUCACUAUCAACUAUUUCUCGCUAAUGGACAUUUUGAAGCCAAUUUCACAGGUACUUUUUCCACGGUUAGUUGUUAGAUUAUCAGUAGAAACAUAUUUCCGGUCAAUUUAUUGAGUUUUGAAAAAUUAUUUAUAUUAAUGGAGUUCUUAAAAUUUGGACUAAUAAUCUGUUUGGUCAAAUUUUCGAAAAGUUAAAAGUGUUUAUUUAAAAAACAUACUUAAAAGAAUCACACUUGUUCUUAUACUUUUACGGUACUUUUUCAAUAUACUAGUAUCUAGUACGUGCGUUGCACGUGUAUCCAAGCAAGGACUGAUUCGUGUUAUAGUUUCCAACCCUUCCAAUAUUAAGCAUAAAUCUAUGUGUAAAAAAUCACUAAAUUGCAACAAAUAGUCAACAUAAACCAUGAGUCAUUUAGUACAAAAUUGAACACAUAAAAUAUGAUUUUUAGACAUUAUUAAUAAUAGAAACAACAGUUAAAAAAACAUAUUAAAGAAACAGUGGCAGAACAAAGAUUUUCACUAAAAGGGGUUCAAGAUAUGAAGAACUAAACACACAAAUGUUCAACAUAUACUAUAUAUACAUAAAAAAAUUUAUUUAGAUCAUAUGUAUAAAUAGUGCAAUUUUCCGUCAAAGAGGUUUGAAUGAACCCUCUCGGUCUUACCCGACUCCCCGAUAAAACAGAUGGGUUAAGAAUGAUCCUUUCAACUUCAUCUCAUAUCAUGUUUUGUUAAGAUUGUGCUUUGUAAUAACAAUAUAUAUAAGUGAAUAGAUUCAUUUUCUAAUCAGGGUGACUUACAUUUUUCCUUAAACUUUUAUAACCCAUUAAAUUAUUGUGCCAGGUAACUUUUACAAAUCUCCAUGACUUCAUUGCAUUAUACGUUAGCUUCUAAAUAACUUUAGGAAAUAACUGUUCAAAUACACUUUAUACUGCAACAUAUGAAUCUGAUCCAUAAUUAUACAUGAAAGGUAACUUUUCAAAUUACUUAUCUAUUUUUUUUCAAAUUAAUUAAGGAAAUCAAUGUAUUGAUUUUGAAAGAAUACAUUUUACCUGCAUUUGAAUCUAGUCCAUAUUAUUGAACCACACAAAUAACCUUUCAGAUUCUUAGCCUUUUGAGAGUAACUAAGAAAAUUAAUGCAUUGUUUUUUCAAAGAAUGAAUUGUAUUAAUUUAACAGCUUCUCACUUUUAGUAUUUAGUAUAAUAUAAUAUGGCUAGCUACUUAAUAUUUAAUUAAUUAAAUAUUUUAUAAUAUUAUGAUUGAAUGUAGGGGUAAAAGGAUAAUCCAACUUUGCACUUAGGAGUUUCCCAUAUGAUGAUGAUAUAUACAUUAUUUUAUCAAUCAUAACUUUUCAAAUUCUUCCGUUAUGAGAAUUAUGAUUAUGAUUAAAAGCAAUAUCAAUGUACUCAUUUAUCAAGAAAGUAAUAAUUUAAUUAUUAAAGGGCUUAAGGACUUAAAUUCUACCAUUAUGUAAUUAAAAUCUUUAUAUUUAAUUAAAUAAUUAAUCAAAUUUUAAUUUAGUAAAAGGGCAAAAUGGUAAUUCAACCUUUUACUUUAGAGCUUCCCACUUAUAAUAUAACUAGAUUUUGUUGCCCGUGCUAUGCACGGGCCCAAUAACAUAAAUGGUAUGUUUUGGGGCUAAUAACGAAGUUUUUGAAGCGAUUGUUUGCGUGGAUAAAGGAAUAAGUUUUUUUUAUCACAAACCUGUACUUUCUUUGACGCUAUUCAAGGCACAAUAAGACUACCCACAUACAAUAUUUUUGAACAAUUUUAUGUUGUCAAUUAUCACGAUUUAAUUUUAAGAAUCAGUCAAUUUUUUUUUCUGUUUUUUUAAUAAAUAUUUUAAGUUGUCAAUUAUCACGAUUUGUCCCAUUUUUUAUGUGGCACCCUUUGACUUGGCAUGGUGUUUAUGAAAAAAAGAAGACUUUUUAAAACUUGUGGUCUAAGAUAAUCCUCAGAGAUUUGUGUGGCUGGAAAUCAUUUCAUUAAGGAUAAAAGAGAAAUUUUAAAGUUAAUUUGUUUUCAAUUAUAGUAAGGUGACAUUCUUUUUGGGACGGACUGGAAAGGAAAGGGUGCCACAUAAAAUGGGAUGGAGGGAGUAUUAGAGCCGGUUUGGAUAGACUUUUGGGAGUGUUUGGCAAAUUUAAAUAACUUAAAAUAAGUUUAAAAUGACUUAAAAUAAGUUAAAAGUCAAAAGUAGGACUCUCCCUACUUUUUAUUCUUUGACUUAAAAGUCCUUUAAGUUUUACCUUCAAAAAGUUGUUUCUUAAAAGCUGCUUCUUAAGCCAAUCCAAAUGGGCUUUAAGUGUAGUGUUUAUACUAAAAUUAGAAAAUACAUGAUAGUAUUUGUCUCUCAACUGUUAUGGGUCUUAAAAUAUUUCUUCCUUGUGUCGCAGGGUGAAAAGUUAAGGCGGAGAAAUGACUGGUUUCAUUGGCUGAUACCACCAUCAGUACAGAAUUCAACCAUGUCAAGUCCGCGAUCUCCUCAAAUGUCUGGUCCUGAUUUGCUUGCAGAAAAUCUCCAACGUGUUGUAUUUGAUUAUAACACUACAGGACAUGGAAAUGCUGAAGCACAUCUUAGUAGAUCAUCAUCUACUGAAUUAAGUACUCCAUUUACGCAGUUUGGCAAUGAGAUGGCUGAACAGGCUGAUGCUCAGAAUUCACAGCUAAUGCCACUUGGAAAUCCAAGUUAAAGAGUUAACUCUUCUGGAGUGAAGAGUGAAGUCCAGAGGUUGGUAGCUGUUGUGCUUCUUCAAGCAAUCAAUGAGUUUUAGUUUAUACUGUUGGUGGUGGUUCUGACAUCUCAUGAAGGAACUAGGCAGGGAAUAAAAGGAUAACAAACAUAAUUGGCAAUAGAAUUAUAAUGUCUUUAAGCAUUCUUGUAGCUUGAUUUUGUUGGGAUGUAUAUUUUGUUUUGUUGGGGACAAGUAUUUUCUUUUCCUUUAUGUUAUGUUCCUUUGUCGUGGUUAUUUAUUAUACAGGUCUGGGCAAUUUUGGUUCUACUUCCCAUGCAGCCCCCCAGCUUUAUCUUCUUAAGCCAAAAUCCUUGGGGCAGGCUUACUGAAAGGUAUGAAGUUGCUGGCUUCUGAUCUUUUGUCAGAAUGGUCCUGUGAAGACUUUUGUGCUGGCCCUGGGCACUUGGUUGUCUUGUUAUUGUCUUUCUGUUUGUUUCAAAUCUAGCACCAUUGACUCUUUUAUAUUUACUAGUUAUAGGGAACGUGUGUUGCACGUUUGUCUACUACUAUUUUAUAAAAUUUACACAAACAUAAUUUUAUGUCGAUAGUUAUUUAUUGCAUAAUUUAUUUUUAUAGAUAUGCCAAAACUUGUAUUGAUUAAUAUGUAUAUGUAUAAAGUUUACAUUUUCAUCCAAAAGAAAAAAAUAAAGAUUCGAAAUAUAGUCGUCUAGACUAAGAUAUAUUCUAGUAAAUAUAUAGAUGUUUUCUCUAUACAGACACAACCAUUUAGGUUAAUAUUAUAAUUUUAUUUUUACUUAUUUGUUUGACAGCUAAGAAAUACUCAAAUAUGUAAAAUCAAUUAAGAUUAUAUAACACCUAAUCUAAUAAGAUGAAUACUAGCUUUAAAUUUAAGAAUAAAAUAUACAACAUUAUGAAGUAUUAUCUUCUAUAAAUAUUAUAUAAUAAUAAGAGUACAUCAUCAUUUUUAUUUUUUUAUUUUUAUCUUACUGUCUACUUUCAUUUUCAUUUUCCUCUCUUACUACGUACAAAAAUAUAAAUACUUCCCACUUUGUGCCUACUCAUUCAGAUUCUUCAAUUUCCACGUUUAUGAAAAAUUAACCCAAAAUCAUCUUUUAAACUAAAACUCCUAGUAUUUUAAUUUUUAAUAUAAAUUUAAAAUGCUCCAAUACAAAAAGGGAAAUGACAUAAGAAGAAAAUUAUAUUGACACAAGAGAUCACGUAGCUUUAGAUCAAAAUUAUUGUAGAACUCACGAUCCUUAUUUUUUUUCUUCUUAUUUCACCCCAUGAUAAGCUUUAACUGAAAUUACAAAAUGAUCUUGUAUUGUUAAUGCCUUGGUAUGCCACAUCUUUACAUUAUACUUAUUUCUAUAAAAUUCAGACUAUGAAGAAUUUGGACUUGGGAUUGAAAAUGUGAGAUGGUGAAUGUAUAUGAUGUGUCUGUUUGUACAUAGUAUUUUCAAAAUUUAAGAAAAGAGUCAUUUUACUUUUUUAUGAAGCUAUAACUAAGAAUUUUUGAAGAUUUCGAUAUUGGCAUGUGUAAUUGAAGAACAAAAAAGUGUCUAAUGAUGUAACGGAAGAAAAAUAAGAGACUGUUAAUAAUUUAGCGACUUAACUUUUCUUUUCAAUACCUUAAAUGUAUUAAAAAGAAAUUAAAUAGAAGAAAAUGCCACUUAACUUUUAUAGAGUCCUUUUGUAAUCCAACUUUCAACUAUAAGGUUAUCGUAUUACACUUGCAAUACACUAAUGUUUGACAGACGUCCCUCAAAAUUUGGCUCGUCGUUUAUUGUCUGACAUGACCAUUUAUGAUGAGAAACAACAACAUCUUUCUUCUUACAUUCAUGAAUCCUCAUAUGAAGUUCAGCCGCAACAAUCAAUAAAUGAACACCUUGAAUUGAUAUCAAAAUGAACAGCUUAAUAUAUAUAUAUAUAUAUAUAUAUUAUAGAGAGAGAGGGGGGGUGGAGCUACAUACAAAUUUAGCAUCAUAUAUAAUUGCUUAUUUCUAAGGUAUAGAAUGAAUAAUGUCAAAUACUCGGUGCAGAUAAAGUUAUGCCUUUCAAUAUUAUGAAUUACCAAAUAUAAGGAAAGAAUAUUAAUCAUAAAAUACCAUACAUAAAAAAAUAAACUAUCACAAUUAUAUUGAUGUAGAAUAAACACAAACUUACUUUCUUGAAGCUUGUUAUAAGAUUAUAGGAACUCACUCUCAUAUUCGAUCUCAGUUAUACAUCCUUGACUAAAUUUUUAUUGCUGCAACAAAAAAAGUCCAAAAAGUUUAACAAUCAAAUACUGUUUAAAUAACUAUCAAAGGAAAAUCAACUACAAAAAAAUAAUAUAAUAUUUUCUAAUACAAUUGAGAAUCUAAUAAUUAGAAAAUUAAAAAACACAUGAACCAUAGAAAAUGUUGAUAGGUCUGGAAUAUAUAUAGUAAGAGGAUGCAUAUUUUUUUGACUUAUGAAAUUCUUCUUUAAUAGACAAAUAAAUAAAGAAAAGAUCAAUUGAAUAGAUAAGAUGAAUAUGAACAUUUCAAAUUUUAUUUUUCCAACCUUUGAGAUUCUCAUCAAACGUAAUUAAUUGGUUAAUAUGUGGUCACUUCCCAUUUAAUUGAUUAUUGUCAUUUAUUAGAUGGUAAAUUUAUUAUUUGGUACAAAAAUAUCAUAGAAUCAGUAUUUAAAUUAGGGGUAGUAACGUUGAUUAAUUUUAAUGUAGAUUUUUGUACUUAUUUUAUUUUAAACUUAUGUUUUCCUACUUUUAAAUAACUUACAAUUCAAAAAAUAAUUAAAAUAUUAUUAUUUAAUUAAUUAGAUGUUUAAUUUAGUCUAGGGGUAAAAUGGUAAUUCAACUUUUCAUCUUUGGAGCUUCCACUUAUAAUAAUAUAUAAAAUAUGUGUGUGUGAUUUGUCAUAUUUACCUUUAUAUUCUUAAAAAAUCAUAUUUAUCCGUAGUCCCAUACAAUGUUAAAUCUCUAUGUUUUCAACAUAUUUGUCAUUUUCACCAACUUUAGAGUCAUAUCUUAUACUCUGAAAAAUCAUAUUUCAUCCCACGUUAAAGAUAGGAAAAGAGAGAAAAAUUUAUAAUUUAUCUAUGGAUAUGAUAACAUAUUGUUAUUAUUAUAACAUUACUAACUUGUUUUGAAAUAUUCAACAUCUAAAUUAUGAUUAGAAUCUUGAUAUAAUGUUAGCCAUUGAUUUUCCUUUGUCAUGUGUCUUCGAAACUUGAGCAAAAUAGGGAGAAGAGAAAUGAAUUAAGUAGUAAGCAGAAGGAAUAACGUGCUGACCUGAUUCUUUAUUCAUGGGUCAAGAACGUGAAAUUUUUUAUUAUAUGAAUCGGGGAGGAUUUGAUCUUGGAUGUCUACUCUGAUACCAUGUUGAAAUAUGUGAUUAUAUCAUCUAAAAGUUUAAUCCGCACAUUUUUAUUAUUUAAUUGUAUUCUUUCUGUUAGCAACAUGCAUUGUAAUAUCACUUAAGUUUCUCACUAGGCGUUUGGAUCUAAAUUCAGUGAUAUCUUCUUUUUUAAAAAUAUACUAUUUGACAUUAAAGUUGAAAAAUGAUUGGAUUUGGAGUUUGAAGAUGCAUUUCAAGAACAAUGUUUCGACAAGUACAACAACUUAUAUUAAUUUCAUGAUGAACAGCGCUAGGAGAAGAAGUGGUAAAUUACAUUCCUGGGCUUAAACCAAUUCGCGUAAAGGAUCUCCCAUCUUCAUUCAACAGCAAACGCCGGGAGAUGUUGCCCUUGCUUCUCCAAGUUGUAUCACAAUUAGCCAAUAAAGCACAAUAUGCCUUGUUCACCACCAUUGGAACAUUGGAAUCUCAAGUAAUUGAGGCUUUACAAGCUGAAUUUCCAGUCCCCAUUUUCACUGUCGGUCCAACAAUCCCUUACUUGGAUACCGAAUUCAACACUAACCAUCCUAGUCCAAACUACAUGUCAUGGCUUGAUGAUCAACCUAAGGACUCUGUUCUAUACAUAUCCCAAGGAAGUUUCAUGUCUGUAUCAAAAGAACAGCUAGAUGAAAUUAUAGCAGGUGUGCACAGCAGUGGUGUCCGAACAUUUUGGGUGGCACGUGAGAAUGCAUCCUUACUUACGGAUGG
rnacentral:lncRNA from 1 species